rnacentral:rRNA from 1 species
UACGUAGGGUGCAAGCGUUGUCCGGAAUUAUUGGGCGUAAAGAGCUCGUAGGCGGUUCGUCACGUCUGCUGUGAAAUCCCGAGGCUCAACCUCGGGUCUGCAGUCGAUACGGGCGGACUUGAGUACUGCAGGGGAGACUGGAAUUCCUGGUGUAGCGGUGAAAUGCGCAGAUAUCAGGAGGAACACCGGUGGCGAAGGCGGGUCUCUGGGCAGUAACUGACGCUGAGGAGCGAAAGCGUGGGGAGCGAACAGG